rnacentral:lncRNA from 1 species
UAAACUGCUGGUUCGUUUCCGCGGGCAGGUCAGAAUUUAAAUUUGUAUAUAUUUUUCUUUCAAAAAAAAAAAGAUUUAUCUAAACUAUCUUACUCAUAAACCUAGAUGAUUCGUUUCAAUGAUUUUUUUUUUGUAUGACCAGGAAGUGAAUCCUUAGACGAGCUACGAGCCUGUGUUACAUGCCAAGAUAACAAUGAUGUGGCGCAUACUGCAAACCUCUGCUAUAUACGUGAUAUGCAUGCAAGAGAGAUAUUCGUAAAUAUAUUCUGGUUUGCAUGUGGAGAUUCAAGAAUAAGGAAAGCAGAAGGCUGUGGUAAAUAACUGAGAAACUUGACAUAAGAGAGUUGCGGCUUUAAGAGAAAAAGAGUGGAGCAUCAGACGAACUAAGAGAGAUUAGAUUAGGUUCAGGUGAUUGAACAAAGAAAAAAUUGCCGUAGUUAUUAAUCUUUUGAGCAAAAAGUGAAAUUGUUGGUGUGCGG